UACGUAGGGGGCUAGCGUUGUCCGGAAUCAUUGGGCGUAAAGCGCGUGUAGGCGGCCCGGUAAGUCCGCUGUGAAAGUCGGGGGGCUCAACCUCGGAUGCCGGUGGAUACUGUCGGGCUAGAGUACGGAAGAGGCGAGUGGAAUUCCUGGUGUAGCGGUGAAAUGCGCAGAUAUCAGGAGGAACACCGGUGGCGAAGGCG
rnacentral:rRNA from 1 species